AUGUUCUGUAGCCCUUGGUGCCAAUCUGAAGCCAUCUCCUUUUUUCCAUCUCUUUUUUUCCAUCUCCUUUUUUCCAUCCUCCUUUUCCCAUCUCCUUUUUCCAUCUCCUUUUUCCCAGCUCCCUUUUUCCCAUCUCCUUUUUCCAUCUCCUUUUUUUGUCUCCUUUUUCCCAGGUCCUUUUUCAUCUUCUUUUUCCAUUUCAUUUUUUCCAUCUCCUUUUUUCCAGCUCCCUUUUUCCAUCUCCUUUUUCCAUCUCCCUUUUUCAUCUCCUUUUUUCCAUCUCCUUUUUUCCAUCCUUUUUUUUCCAUCUCUUUUUUUCCAACUCCUUUUUCCAUCUCCCUUUUUUCCAUUUCCUUUUUUCCAUCUCCCUUUCUCCAUCUCCUUUUUCCCAGGUCCUUUUUCAUCUCCUUUUUUCCAUCUCCUUUUUUCCAUCUCCUUUUUUCAUCUCCUUUUUCCCAGGUCCUUUUUCCAUCUCCUUUUUUCCAUCUCCCUUUUUCCAUCUCCUUUUUUCCAUCUCCCUUUUUCCAUCUCCAUUUUCCCAGCUCCCUUUUCCCAUCUCCUUUUUCCAUCUCCUUUUUACCACCUCCUUUUUUCCAUCUCCUUUUUCAAUCUCCUUUUUCCCAUCUCCCUUUCCCAGCUCCUUUUCCCAGCCUUGCCCUCCCAAGGCCUCCCUGGAAGGCUGAGCAGGUCCCAGCUUUAACCCAGGGAAAUCCAUCAGCACACCAGCUUCCCUCAGGAGCCCCAAAAAUAGGAAUAUAUUUCUGUUCUUGCAGGAAAUUCAUCCUGCAGGGUCAGUGAGCACCUCCGUGUGAUCUCCCCCAGCCUAAUGGAGCAGCACCAAAGCAUUUCCCUUCCUGCCUUCUCAGCUCCUCCAAGAUAAAUAUUAAUGGCCGAGCACGGAGGGAACACUCCAGUGACUCCUCUGCAGCUAUUUCAGACUAAAUAACCCUUUAAAGUGGAUUUUUUUUCCCACUUUAAUUCUUUUCCCCCCAUAUUUUCUAGGCCUUGCUUGGGUUUCCCCUCGGUGCCAUUGAAAGGGUUGUACAAAAUUGGGUUUGGUGCAGAGCUGCCACGUGUGGGGAGAGCAGCUCUGAGGCAGAAAAAUGCAGGUUUUUCCCUGAAAAAUUUGAUGAAAAAUGCAGGUUUUUUCCUGAAAAUUUUGAUGAAAAAUGCACUUUUUCCUGAAAAUUUUCCUGAAAAAUGGAGUUUUGUUUCUUUGCUGGUAAGAAAAGGCCCCUCUGAGGGGUGAAUUCGCAAUGAGGAUUUAAUCUCUGAGUGUUCACUCUCCACCAGCAACCCCAGGCUCUGAGAAAAGGACGCUCAGAACCCAAAAACAUUGGACAGCACCAUUUAUCCUGUGUGAAAACACAGAGAAAACACAAAUAACACAUCCAGGGCCCAGCUCUGGUAAAAAACCUCUUUGCAAAUAGGAGAUUUCUGCUUUUUCCAUGGGAUAAAGGCAGUGCGGAUGUGUCCCCACUGGCAGUGCCUCCUGUGGAGCUGCUGUUUCAUUUAAGGCUCUCUUUCUUUCCUCUAAUGAGUAAAAAAUUAAUUAAGGAAACCAAAGCUUCUUCCAAUAAUGCACAAAUCACCCCUCAAGGCCCAGGGUUUGCUCCCUUCCUCCCUCCCUGAGCUCAGGGUGUUUAAACAGGGUAUUUCUAUAUAAAUAUUUCUAUAUUUGAACAGGGUAUUUUAUAUUUGAACAGGGUAUUUUAUAUUUGAACAGGGUAUUUUAUAUUUUAAGAGGGUUUUUAACAGGGCAUUUUAUAUUUUAACAGGGCAUUUGAACAGGGAAUUU
ensembl:lncRNA